GAAUAAAGGGUAAAGUAAAUAUAAAAGUGAAAGUAAAAAAUGAAAAGUGUCAUUUUAAUCAGCUUGGUGCAUGUACGCUGGAGUGUGUCAGUUUGAGUCAGGCAGACGGCGCGGGGCUGCGAGGUAGAGAUUGGCUGGUGAACAUAUUAUCUCCACGAGACAGAAUCUCCAACAUCUCGGGGUGUGUAGGUGUGUGACUGAUUGUUGUGUUUGUUUGCGUGGCCGUAUGGGCGGAAGAGUGAGCCACGAGGCUGCCGGGGUGCGCGUGAGGACAAAUAUAAAAUGGGCAGGUGACAGUAAAUGUCCCUGCUGACAGAGAGUGCUGCAAUUAGUCCAGAUUAGUCACAGUGGCCUUCUGUGCUGAACCCCCACCUCUACACCACCUUCCGCAUCAGGACCGCAACACCUGUCUCCUAGCAACCUGCAUCCAGAUCUCAGGCAAGGGAUGCUGCCUCUGACACAAGAAUGGCAAGACGCACAUUCUCUGGUUCAGACAUCCAGGAGCUUGACGGUGUAAUGGUGCCACGGGUGAGCAGUGGACAAAGCACUGGAAUGCUGGAUUUCAAUAGGAGCGCACUUGGAAUGCUAGGACUGGAAUUUUAUUAUUCUAUUUACAAUGCAAAUGUGUUCUGAAGCCAGUUCAUAUUACUGGCACAGACAAACAUUUAAGCUACAGCUCUCUGCUAGUUGGACAACAUACAGUAUGAAGGUUCAAAACAAAUAAAAGGAAAAUUAUUUAAAAAAUGUA